rfam:Schistosoma mattheei strain Denwood, Zambia genome assembly, scaffold: SMTD_scaffold0000173
AUCCAGCUAACGAGUCCCAAGUAGGACUAAACGCGCGUCCUAGAU